UCAUCGACACAGAACAGCAUCGUCAUCAUCAUCAUCAUCUCCGUCAUCAUGGUCAUGAUUAUCCACCACGGGCCGUCUGCCUGGAGUUGGAGAAGGAGCGAAUGAGAGCGAGCGUUCGCUCGGAUCAUGUUUUUCCCGUUCGCGGGCUGUUCGGGUUUGCGCGCCGUCGUUCCCCCUUUUGGGCGCUGAGCGUUCGAGAGCGCGAGGAUGCCGCUCGGACGGGUCCACCCGACGGUGAUGAAUCGUCGGGUUUCGGGUCCGGGUUCCGCCGUGUUCGGUCGGGCUUCGCGCUCGCAGUACAUAUCUUUUAUGUAUUUAUGUUGGUUGCGUUUCUGCCGUUUUGUUAUUACCUCGAAAAACCAGUCGAUUUCGUUUCAGUCUUCAUACAGUCUUCGCUUUAACCCGUUCCAAUCUAUCCGCCGCUCUCACAAGUUAUCAGUAUACAUCAAACAACAACAACAACAACUACAAUAACAACAUAUUAAUAUCUUAACAAAACAUUCUUUUAGUGCGUGAGUGCGUUAACGUCUUCACCGUUGAAGGGUGUGUAUCAGCGCAGCGGUGGUGCGUUAAAGUGUCGUCUGUGCGUCUCAGUGUGUUUCGUGCCAAAUUCAGCUCUCUAUUUUCUUACACACGCCCGAGGGCUGCAGUUUUGUUCCUGCCUUUCGGUUGUUGGUAAAUGUAAGUUGUGGUAACCGCUCAGUUCUGUUAAACCGGGCCAUCUCGGCGUGAUACAGCGGCCCGCCCGCCAAAAGUGCAACCAGCAGUUCACCAAAGACAUCCUACGGACACUACGUCAGCGUUGACGUGCAGACGCCCAGACGCGUCUGUGCUUGUGUAGGGUUGUGUGUGCUCUCGUUGUGGUUAAGUGAGUGUGUGUGUGCGCGAGUGGUGGUGGUACGGCGCUACGAUUCUCAACUUGGGGAGCCGAAAAACAUCAACUAACCUGACACAACAACACGCGGAAGCAGAAGCGAUUCUACACACCACACCUCACGUCUCGUCCCCAACAUUUCCAACCCAAACGUUUGCCGGGCGCGGAUAUUCAUACUCUGCAGAGUGGCCAGCUAAACGUGCAUCUUUCGCGUGCCGACGCCCUUGUGUGGUGGUGGUAGUCAUCCAGCCCUUUUCUUCACGCGCUUUUUCCCAAACCAACCCCCCGCCCACUGCCCAAACCCUCCCGAAACAAGAAACACGCUUACCUUGAUAUCCACCACAGACAAACGAAAACGAACAACAGAAAAAGUCGCGCCACGUAUAUACGCGGUUGUGUGGUUGUACGGUUGGGUCCCAACGAACGUUUUGCCCAUAGUUGCUCAGCCAUAAGGACGCGAAACAAAAAUAUUGGCAACAGCAGACGCAAACCUUAAAUUGUGUAACAGAGCACGCAGCUAGCCGUAGCAGCAGCAUCGCCAGCCACUGCGUCCCUGUACCAGCAGCAUCAGCAACAGCACCACCAUCAUCAGCAACCGGUCUCGAGUCUAGUGAGUGCGACCGAU